UGCACAACCUUAAACUUUGGUGGAAGAUUACAUUUUCCACUCGCCCGGGGACUACGAGCAUAAGCUUAAAACCUAAAGGACUUGGCGGUGCUUUAGACCCACCUAGAGGAGCCUGUUCUAUAACCGAUAACCCCCGUUAAACCUCACCUUCUCUUGUUAUUUCCGCCUAUAUACCGCCGUCGUCAGCUUACCCUGUGAAGGCUAUCCAGUAAGCAAAAUUGAUUUUAUCCAAAACGCCAGGUCGAGGUGUAGCAGAUGAGAAGGAAAGAAAUGGGCUACAUUUUCUAGUUUAGAAAAUAACGGAAAUUACCAUGAAACAGUACAUUAAAGGAGGAUUUAGCAGUAAGAGGAGAAUAGAGAGCUCCACUGAAACUGGCCCUGAAGC
rnacentral:rRNA from 1 species